CAGUGAAGUUAUAACACUGAGUUCUUAUCUGGUCCAUGAUCUCUAAAAAGCACAAGUGAACUGAGAACAAUGUAGAACUUCACCAACUUCCAUUCUAAGUUCUGCAUUCCAGGGAAGGUUAUUCUCAUAAAAUAUAUGCAGACUUCACAGUUGAUAAGGCAAUCUUGUAUUGAUAGUUAAGGUCUAAUGAGAAGCGGUCCUGUCCUCAAAGAGAUUGUAAUCAGGCUCACGUGCAAACGCAGAGGAGGCAGCCUUCUCUGAGUAGGACUGCUUUGUGAAAGAGCUGGGUGGUUGCAAAGGGGAGAGGAGAGGUUUAGAUGCUAUGGUUUUGGUGAAAUGAUCAGUCCUGUCAGGAAGGUGAUACAAAGGUUAAAGAAAGAGAUACUUUAGAAUGUAACUGUAACCGUCCUUAAUGCGCCACUGAAUUGUCAUUCUUUCUCUGUGUGUUGACAUUAAAUCUUCAAAGAAGGACAGAAAAGUUUAUGUCACAGAUAAGAAGGCUCAAUGAAUGAAUCCCCCUCAAUGAAGCCAGGGAUUAUUCUCCUGGAUUGGCGAGGCCUGAUGUCACUCAGUGCAGCAUGGUGAAGCACCCUUGAAAAUGAGUGGUGUCCUGGUUCGUUGGCUGGUCAGAACAUCAAACAAGGUCGAGUUUGGACGGGAUGGUAUGUCAACAUAAAAACCAUCUGGCAAGACCUUCUUAUUACCACCAUGACCUCUUGGGACCAUCAGGAUCCCAAGAUCCACAUCAGAGAGGAAGUAUAAUGGCCGCCCUCGUUAGAGAGAUGCGUCAUCCCUUGGUUCACAGCUGCCACAGGAUACUCGAAAAAUCAUUUCAUGGGUCUGGGUUGUUGAAGAAUUGGGUGUCCAUACAAAUAUCAACUAAUUGACUCUCGUGUUCCACAGUGUUGAGAUCUCCGGUUGAGACUGAUGUUCAGUGAGAAGAAGAUGAAAAGAUGCCUAUGGCGAGGACAUUGUGAGUGACGGGAAUUAGAGAAAGGAAGAGGCUGGGUCUUUGGGCCAGAGCCUUGACCACAUCAGAGAAAGGAGGUGGCGGUUGGAUCACUACGUACUUCUGUUAAAUCAAGACCCCUAACCAGCAAAGUAAAAUAAAUUAGAGUAAAAGGCACUCUUAAACCUAAAACUAAUUUCAAAGCUGG
rnacentral:lncRNA from 1 species